rnacentral:rRNA from 1 species
GAUGAACGCUAGCGAUAGGCCUAACACAUGCAAGUCGAGGGGCAUCACAUGAAGUAGCAAUACGGAUGGUGGCGACCGGCGCACGGGUGAGUAACACGUAUGCAACCUGCCUUCAACAAGGGGAUAACCCGUUGAAAGACGGACUAAUACCCUAUAACACAGGGGUCCCGCAUGGGAAUAUUUGUUAAAGGACAACCGGUUGAAGAUGGGCAUGCGUUCCAUUAGCUAGUUGGCGGGGUAAGGGCCCACCAAGGCAACGAUGGAUAGGGGAACUGAGAGGUUUAUCCCCCACACUGGUACUGAGACACGGACCAGACUCCUACGGGAGGCAGCAGUGAGGAAUAUUGGUCAAUGGACGCAAGUCUGAACCAGCCACGUCGCGUGAAGGAAGACGGCCCUACGGGUUGUAAACUUCUUUUGCAAGGGAAUAAAGUGGGCCACGUGUGGCCUUUUGCAAGUACCUUGCGAAUAAGGAUCGGCUAACUCCGUGCCAGCAGCCG